rnacentral:rRNA from 1 species
UACGUAGGGAGCAAGCGUUGUCCGGAAUCAUUGGGCGUAAAGAGCGCGUAGGCGGCCCUGUAAGUCCGCUCUGAAAGUCAAAGGCUCAACCUUUGAAAGCGGGUGGAUACUGCAGGGCUAGAGUCCGGAAGAGGCGAGUGGAAUUCCCGGUGUAGCGGUGAAAUGCGCAGAUAUCAGGAAGAACACCUAUGGCGAAGGCAGCUCUCUGGGACGGUACUGACGCUGAGACGCGAAAGCGUGGGGAGCGAACAGG